GGUAAGGUGGCCGAGUGGUUAAGGCGUUGGAUUUAAGAGUGAUAUUUAUCACAUCACCUUGAAGUUCCCCAAUGACGAGAGUCUCCAGGGUUCGAACCCCUGUCUUACCA